CGAAAAGUCAGGUUACAAUGGUUACAUAUAUGGAGAAUCAGGGUUACAAUGGUUACAUACAUGGAGAAUCAGGUUACAAUGGUUACAUACAUGGAGAAUCAGGGUUACAAUGGUUACAUACAUGGAGAAUCAGGGUUACAAUGGUUACAUGCAUGGGAAAGUCGGGUUACAAUGGUUACAUACAUGGAGAAUGAGGUUACAAUGGUUACAGGCAUGGGAAAGUCAGGUUACAAUGGUUACAUACAUGGAGAAUCAGGGUUAUAAUGGUUACAUACAUGGGGAAUCUAGUUACAAUGGUUACAUGCAUGGAAAAUCAGGUUACAAUGGUUACAUGCAUGGAAAAGUCAGGUUACAAUGGUUACAUAUAUGGAGAAUCAGGGUUACAAUGGUUACAUACAUGGAGAAUCAGGUUACAAUGGUUACAUACAUGGAGAAUCAGGGUUAGAAUGGUUACAUACAUAGGGAAUCUAGUUACAAUGGUUACAUACAUGGAGAAUCAGGGUUACAAUGGUUACAGGCAUGGGAAAUCAGG